CCUACGGGAGGCAGCAGUGAGGAAUAUUGGUCAAUGGGCGAGAGCCUGAACCAGCCAAGUCGCGUGAAGGAUGAAGGAUCUAUGGUUUGUAAACUUCUUUUAUAUGGGAAUAAAGUGCGGCACGUGUUCCUUUUUGUAUGUACCAUAUGAAUAAGCAUCGGCUAACUCCGUGCCAGCAGCCGCGGUAAUACGGAGGAUGCGAGCGUUAUCCGGAUUUAUUGGGUUUAAAGGGUGCGUAGGUGGUUAUUUAAGUCAGCGGUGAAAGUUUGUGGCUCAACCAUAAAAUUGCCGUUGAAACUGGUAGACUUGAGUAUAUUUGAGGUAGGCGGAAUGCGUGGUGUAGCGGUGAAAUGCAUAGAUAUCACGCAGAACUCCGAUUGCGAAGGCAGCUUACUAAACUAUAACUGACACUGAAGCACGAAAGCGUGGGGAUCAAACAGGAUUAGAUACCCCAGUAGUC
rnacentral:rRNA from 1 species